rnacentral:rRNA from 1 species
AAUCAACGCUGGCGGCGUGCUUAACACAUGCAAGUCGAGCGCGAAAGCGGCUUCGGUCGUUAGUAGAGCGGCGGACGGGUGAGGAACACGUGGGUAACCUACCUCGGGUGGGGAAUAACCCAGGGAAACCUGGGCUAAUUCCGCAUAACAUCUUUAGCUCGCAAGAGUUAUUGAUCAAAGCUGGGGACCCUUCGGGGCCUGGCGCCUGUGGAGGGGCCCGCGGCCGAUUAGCUUGUUGGUGAGGUAACGGCUCACCAAGGCUCCGAUCGGUAGCCGGCCUAAGAGGGCGGACGGCCACACUGGGACUGAGACACGGCCCAGACUCCUACGGGAGGCAGCAGUGGGGAAUUUUUGUCAAUGGGGGAAACCCUGAACAAGCAACGCCGCGUGGAGGACGAAGACCCUCGGGUCGUAAACUCCUGUCGGAGGGGACGAAAGCGGUCGUAGUUAAUACCUGCGAUCGUUGACGGUACCCUACGAGGAAGCCCCGGCUAACUCCGUG